rnacentral:lncRNA from 1 species
UGAGAGAGGUCAGCGUGAGCCCCUUGCCUCACACCGGCCCCUCCCACGCUGAGAGAGGUCAGUGUGAGCCCUUGCCUCACACCGGCCCCUCCCACGCGGACAGAGGUCAGCGUGAGCCCCUUGCCUCACACCGGCCCCUCCCACGCUGAGAGAGGUCAGUGUGAGCCCUUGCCUCACCCCGGCCCCUCCCACGUGGACAGAGGUCAGCGUGAGCCCCUUGCCUCACACCGGCCCCUCCCACGCUGAGAGAGGUCAGCCCGAGCCCCUUGCCUCACACCGGCCCCUCCCACGCUGAGAGAGGUCAGCGUGAGCCCCUUGUCUCACACCGGCCCCUCCCACGCUGAGAGAGGUCAGCCCGAGCCCCUUGCCUCACACCGGCCCCUCCCACGCUGAGAGAGGUGUGAGCCCCUUGUCUCACACCGGCCCCUCCCACGCGGACAGAGGUCAGCGUGAGCCCCUUGCCUCACACCGGCCCCUCCCACGCUGAGAGAGGUCAGUGUGAGCCCUUGCCUCACACCGGCCCCUCCCACGCGGACAGAGGUCAGCGUGAGCCCCUUGCCUCACACCGGCCCCUCCCACGCUGAGAGAGGUCGGUGUGAGCCCUUGCCUCACACCGGCCCCUCCCACGCGGACAGAGGUCAGCGUGAGCCCCUUGCCUCACCCCGGCCCCUCCCACGCUGAGAGAGGUCAGUGUGAGCCCUUGCCUCACACCGGCCCCUCCCACGCGGACAGAGGUCAG